rnacentral:rRNA from 1 species
AGGAGAAGUAAAAGUCGUAACAAGGUUUCCGUAGGUGAGACCUGCGGAAGGAUCAUUACCGAAUUGUCAACACGAGUUGUCGCUGGCCCUCAAAACAGGGCAUGUGCACACUCUGUUCACACAUCCACUCACACCUGUGCACCCUUCCGUAGUUCUAUGGCCUGGGGGGCCCUGCCUUCCUGUUCUAGUUCUACGUUUUUACACACACAACGCAAUGAAGUCUCAUGGAAUGCAUACGUCGCGUCUAACGCAAUACAAUACAACUUUCAGCAACGGAUCUCUUGGCUCUCGCAUCGAUGAAGAACGCAGCGAAAUGCGAUAAGUAAUGUGAAUUGCAGAAUUCAGUGAAUCAUCGAAUCUUUGAACGCACCUUGCGCCCUUUGGCCAUUCCGAAGGGCAUGCCUGUUUGAGUAUCAUGAACACCUCAACUCCUCAUGGCUUGCUGUGAUGAGCUUGGACUUUGGAGGUCUUGCUGGCCUGCAGCUGGCUCCUCUCAAAUGAAUUAGCUUCCCAGUGUUUGGUGGGCAUCACAGGUGUGAUAAUUAUCUGCGCUUGUGGUUCCUGCCAGGACGACCUUCAGUUAGAACACCGGGGGUCUGCUGGAGCUCACAAAUGUCCCUCUCCAGUGGAGGACAGCACUUUGAAUCUUUGAUCUCAAAUCAGGUAGGACUACCCGCUGAACUUAAGCAUAUA